rnacentral:rRNA from 1 species
UGGGGAAUUUUUCGCAAUGGGCGCAAGCCUGACGAAGCAACGCCGCGUGGAGGAUGAAGGCCUUCGGGUCGUAAACUCCUGUCGACCGGGACGAAAGCAGUCUGGGCUAAUAUCCCGGGCUGUUGACUGUACCGGUGGAGGAAGCCACGGCUAACUCUGUGCCAGCAGCCGCGGUAAUACAGAGGUGGCAAGCGUUGUUCGGAAUUACUGGGCGUAAAGGGCGCGUAGGCGGCUCGACAAGUCCCGCGUGAAAGCCCCCGGCUCAACUGGGGAACUGCGCGGGAAACUGACGGACUUGAGUUCGGGAGAGGGAAGCGGAAUUCCGGGUGUAGCGGUGAAAUGCGUAGAUAUCCGGAGGAACACCGGUGGCGAAGGCGGCUUCCUGGACCGACACUGACGCUGAGGCGCGAAAGCUAGGGGAGCAAACGGGAUUAGAUACCCCCGUAGUCC